rnacentral:rRNA from 1 species
UGGCGGCGUGCCUAAUACAUGCAAGUCGAAUGGUAGCUGCUAACCAUGGCGAACGGGUGAGUAACACGUAGGCAACCUGUCUAAGAGACGAGGAUAACCAUUGGAAACGAUGGAUAAUACUGGAUAAGAUAUUGGGAGGCAUCUCUGAUAUUUAAAGAUUUAUCGCUAAUAGAGGGGCCUGCGGCGCAUUAGCUAGUUGGUGAGGUAACGGCCCACCAAGGCGAUGAUGCGUAGCCGGACUGAGAGGUUGAACGGCCACAAUGGGACUGAGAACGGCCCAUACUCCUACGGGAGGCAGCAGUAGGGAAUUUUCGGCAAUGGACGAAAGUCUGAACCCGAGCAACGCCGCGUGAACGAAGAAGUAUUUCGGUAUGUAAAGUUCUUUUAUUUGGGAAGAAAAUACAUUGACUGUACCAAAUGAAUAAGCUCCGGCUAACUACGUGCCAGCAGCAGC